rnacentral:lncRNA from 1 species
UUUUGUUUUAGUAAGAAUUUACAAUUUCUGGAGGUUUGAUAAGGAAGCAGUCCAGAGAUAGCAAUAUAUAUUUACAAGUCAUGAGAUUAAUGCUAGUGUUUGAUUUCUUGGAAGACAGGUGCCAAGGAUAAUACUGGAUUACCCAGGAUCAAAUACGUAGAGAACAGCACCUCUUUGAGAUGUGCCGUGAUCCAUCUGUGCAAAAUAACCUGAUUCACAUCUAAACACAUUUAUAAACCUUGAAAACACUCCUUAGGGUUGAAUAUACCUCAUUUUAGGCAAGUUUUUUUUAAUCUUAACUCUGGGAAUAAAUAUAUUUGGUCAGUAUCCUUUUAUAUUCUCAAUAUUUUGUAUACCUGUUCUUUUUAACUAAGUUUAUUGGCAAAUAUUUUUGAAAGUUUGAGCUCUUAAAUAAAUAACCAAACAUAACAAUUUGUAAUACCCAAAGUAUAAUGCCUAAUUCUUACUAAGUUUGUAGAACACUAUUAGGAAAUAUGGAAGCAUGUGAUUAGUGACCAUUGUUCCAACUCACAACGAGAUAGCACUAUAGUUGGAAAGAUUGACAAUAAUAUACAUGAUGAAUAAUACUAGGAAUACUUUUACAUAAAUUAAGCAAUAAUCCUUGCUCCUCAUUUUAGGGAUGAUGUUACUGCCUCUACUUUCUUCAUAAUUCUAUACUCAUUUUCCCUUAAUUCAAAGAGAUAAUUUUUUCCAAACUUUAUUAUAGAAUCUCAUAGUUUGAAAUGAUAUUUUUGUUAUUUACUUGUGCAUAUAAUAUGUCUUCCAUUGGAAAAUUUAAAUAUAAAAAUUAUCUUUUUUACUAAUGACAAAUAUAAUUUCUAACCAAAGACUAUUAUUCACUCAAAAAAAUAAUAUAUAUUUUUUUAGGGUUGGGGGAGCAGGGACCAAGGAAGAAGACUUCCAAGAAGUAAAUUUACUUCUUUCCCCCUUUCUCAUAUUGAUGUCUUUUCAAACAGCAAAAGAAAACUUGAGUUAUUUUCCUGGAGGCAAUUUUCCCCCUUAUUAAGUCUCUCUUGGUGGCAUCUAUUAGAUGUUCAGCUCCCACAUAUUCUCUUGGUGGUAGUUUAACCAUGUCCACUUUAUGCUUUGAAUAUAGUCUUUGCUGUUCUGUCAGAUGCUUAUUUUAAAAUGGACAUGGUUUUUCCCUUUUCUCCCACUCCCAAAUUAGCAAGUGAAUUCAGUCCCCUUUCAGGACAUACCUGGAAUGUAACCUUUGGAUUACUUCUUUUAAAACUCUCUGUUUCCAUGGAUUGGCAGAAUCUCAGCCUCUAGGUCAGGAGUCCCCUGUGUUUUUCCUUUGCUACUAAAGCUAUAAAACUUUUUUUUACCUUUUUCUCAAACCAUGUCCUCAUUAUUGGAUUAGCAUCAGGGACAAGGACCAAACUUUUGGUAACAAAUUGGCAACCUAGGUGGGACCCAGUGCAACCCCUGCUCCAAUUUUCUUGGGCAGGUCUAGCACAUUGGACACCUCCCUCCCUACCUUCCAUGCUGAGGAUUCAAGGUAUCUG